rnacentral:rRNA from 1 species
GACAGCAGCCGCCGCGGGAAUACGUAGGGUGCAAGCGUUAAUCGGAAUUACUGGGCGUAAAGCGUGCGCAGGCGGUUUGUUAAGACAGAUGUGAAAUCCCCGGGCUUAACCUGGGAACUGCAUUUGUGACCGGCGGGCUAGAGUAUGGCAGAGGGGGGUAGAAUUCCACGUGUAGCAGUGAAAUGCGUAGAGAUGUGGAGGAAUACCGAUGGCGAAGGCAGCCCCCUGGGCCAAUACUGACGCUCAUGCACGAAAGCGUGGGGAGCGAACAGGAUUAGAGACCCCAGUAGUCCCUGUCUCUUAUAC